GAUCCAGACUCCUACGGGAGGCAGCAGUGGGGAAUAUUGCACAAUGGGGGAAACCCUGAUGCAGCGACGCCGCGUGAGCGAUGAAGUAUUUCGGUAUGUAAAGCUCUAUCAGCAGGGAAGAAAAUGACGGUACCUGACUAAGAAGCCCCGGCUAACUACGUGCCAGCAGCCGCGGUAAUACGUAGGGGGCAAGCGUUAUCCGGAUUUACUGGGUGUAAAGGGAGCGUAGACGGCGAUGCAAGCCAGAUGUGAAAGCCCGGGGCUCAACCCCGGGACUGCAUUUGGAACUGUAUAGCUAGAGUGUCGGAGAGGCAGGCGGAAUUCCUAGUGUAGCGGUGAAAUGCGUAGAUAUUAGGAGGAACACCAGUGGCGAAGGCGGCCUGCUGGACGAUGACUGACGUUGAGGCUCGAAAGCGUGGGGAGCAAACAGGAUUAGAUACCCGCGUAC
rnacentral:rRNA from 1 species